AGCUAGUUGGCAGGGUAAAAGCCUACCAAGGCAAAGAUCGGUAGCCGGCCUGAGAGGGCACACGGCCACACUGGCACUGAAACACGGGCCAGACUCCUACGGGAGGCAGCAGUGGGGAAUCUUGCACAAUUGGGGAAACCCUGAUGCAGCGACGCCGCGUGAGCGAUGAAGCCCUUCGGGGUGUAAAGCUCUUUCGUCAGGGAAGAUUAUGACGGUACCUGGAGAAGCAGCUGCGGCUAACUACGUGCCAGCAGCCGCGGUAAUACGUAGGCAGCGAGCGUUGUUCGGAGUUACUGGGCGUAAAGGGUGUGUAGGCGGUUGUUUAAGUUUGGUGUGAAAUCUCCCGGCUCAACUGGGAGGGUGCGCCGAAUACUGAAUGACUUCGAGUGCGGGAGAGGAAAGUGGAAUUCCUGGUGUAGCGGUGAAAUGCGUAGAUAUCAGGAGGAACACCGGUGGUGUAGACGGCUUUCUGGACCGUAACUGACGCUGAGACACGAAAGCGUGGGUAGCAAACAGGAUUAGAUACCCUGGUAGUCCACGCCCUAAACGAUGCAUAUUUGGUGUGGGCAGCUCAUUCUGUCCGUGCCGGAGCUAACGCGUUAAAUAUGCCGCCUGGGGAGUACAGUCGCAAGGCUGAAACUCAAAGGAAUUGACGGGGGCCCGCACAAGCGGUGGAGCAUGUGGUUCAAUUCGACGCACGCGAAGAACCUUACCUGGGCUCGAACGGCUGGUCAACGCCGGUGGAAACAUCGGUACCCCGCAAGGGGGUCCAGUCGAGGUGCUGCAUGGCUGUCGUCAGCUCGUGUCGUGAGAUGUUGGGUUAAGUCCCGCAACGAGCGCAACCCUUGUCCUGUGUUGCCAUGCCGAAAGGCGGAACUCGCAGGAGACCGCCAGCGAUAAGCUGGAGGAAGGUGGGGAUGACGUCAAGUCCUCAUGGCCUUUAUGUCCAGGGCUACACACGUGCUACAAUGGACGGUACAAAGCGUCGCUAACCUGCGAAGGGGAGCCAAUCGCAAAAAACCGUUCUCAGUUCGGAUUGCAGGCUGCAACUCGCCUGCAUGAAGCUGGAAUCGCUAGUAAUGGCAGAUCAGCACCUGCCGUGAAUACGUUCCCGGGCCUUGUACACACCGCCCGUCACAUCACGAAAGUGGAUUGUACUAGAGGUCUGCAGGCUGACCCGCAAGGGAGGCAGCGGCCCAAGGUAUGAUCCAUGAUUGGGGUGAAGUCGGAACAAGGUAGCCGUAGGAGAACCUGCGGCUG
rnacentral:rRNA from 1 species